rnacentral:rRNA from 1 species
GAAGAAACUUACCUGGUCUUUACUUUCCACAGAACUUUCCAGAGAUGGAUUGGGGCCUUCGGGAACUGUGAGACAGGUGCUGCAUGGCUGUCGUCAGCUCGUGUUGUGAAAUGUUGGGUUAAGUCCCGCAACGAGCGCAACCCUUAUCCUUUGUUGCCAGCGGUCCGGCCGGGAACUCAAAGGAGACUGCCAGUGAUAAACUGGAGGAAGGUGGGGAUGACGUCAAGUCAUCAUGGCCCUUACGACCAGGGCUACACACGUGCUACAAUGGCAUAUACAAAGAGAAGCGACCUCGCGAGAGCAAGCGGACCUCAUAAAGUAUGUCGUAGUCCGGAUUGGAGUCUGCAACUCGACUCCAUGAAGUCGGAAUCGCUAGUAAUCGUAGAUCAGAA